CUCUAACGUGACACGUGAUUCAGUAGACAAGCUUUGUUUUCAUUUAUCCAAUUUAUGGUUAUAUUGAAAGCUCAUUACAACUACGAUUACUCCUAUUGUAUUCAUAAUGGCAUAUUGAUUCUGCCAAGUAUUUCCAUUGGCACCAACUUUUUCCAAUGGCAGGUCUUCUACCGUCCACCAGAGAUUUCGACGAUAUGUUGCAAAGAAAGUCGACAAGGACUCGGACAUCGACACAUAAGGAAAAAAGCUUGGAUUUACACCGGAAGAUACUCAUCGGUACAUAGCAACUAAUCACAAAACCCAGAAUGUAACAUAAUUAUGACGGAACUCUUCUAAUGCUCCGGGAUUGGCGAAAAGGUCAAAGGGAUUCUACCGUGGGAGGAGAUUUGAAGAAUGCUUUGGAGCAAUCUGGACAAAUUCGUCUUGCUGAUGAACUCUUUCCUUAAUUCCUUCCAGUCAGUAAAUACAUAAGCAUGAUAGGAAUCAGUACCAGUUCCAGAAAGAAGGAAUGGGGGGAUCAUGCUCUAUACUUUAAUGCAAUACUGUUUGAUCAAUUGCUACCAUAUAGUAAAUGUAUUAGACAUUGACUAAUAGGAUUAAUUUUUUCUUACAGUUUAAUUAUUUUGUGUUUUCAAUCUUUCUUUUAUCAGUCUUGUCUCACGUGUAAAGUGUUUGUGUGGGUGUUUGUAUGUCCAAUAUAUACAUAUAUCUGACUGCUUGGACCAAGAAGGAAUAUUACUUUACACAUAGUUUAGUACGGAUAAAUCUGACUAUUAUUGUCAUUGUUAUUGUUAUUACCAUAACAAUG